rnacentral:rRNA from 1 species
GACGAACGCUGGCGGCGUGCUUAACACAUGCAAGUCGAGCGAUGAAGUUCCUUCGGGAAUGGAUUAGCGGCGGACGGGUGAGUAACACGUGGGUAACCUGCCUCAUAGAGGGGAAUAGCCUUCCGGAAGGAAGAUUAAUACCGCAUAAGAUUGUAGUUUCGCAUGAAACAGCAAUUAAAGGAGUAAUCCGCUAUGAGAUGGACCCGCGUCGCAUUAGCUAGUUGGUGAGGUAACGGCUCACCAAGGCGACGAUGCGUAGCCGACCUGAGAGGGUGAUCGGCCACAUUGGGACUGAGACACGGCCCAGACUCCUACGGGAGGCAGCAGUGGGGAAUAUUGCACAAUGGGGGAAACCCUGAUGCAGCAACGCCGCGUGAGUGAUGACGGUCUUCGGAUUGUAAAACUCUGUCUUCAGGGACGAUAAUGACGGUACCUGAGGAGGAAGCCACGGCUAACUACGUGCCAGCAGCCGCGGUAACAC